UUUUAUUUAUAUCAUACUUAUUCAUGAUAAUUCCCCUGGUUCUCCUAGAUUCUUUCUUCAUCAAAUUCAUCCCGACCACAUUGAAAUCCAAAGUUUUUCCAUCUCCAAGAUCAAAGAAAAAAAACAUGCAUUUCUUCAUGUAAAUAAAAAAUAAAAAAUAAAAAAUCCAACCCUAAGUGAGCAGUGAGCAGCACAACUCCAGCUUCUCCAUUCUUUACGCUUCACUCCAGCUUCGGCCACCACUGCGAACACCGUCGACCGUCGCACCAAUGGUGGAGUUUGCCACUUGCUCCCCUGCUACUAGCGCCACCAUGAAGGCACUCAUAUAGCAGGAGACAUAGUAGAGGUUGGACGUCAGAGAUUUUAAAGUUGUCAACAAAGUCAUUGUUAAACUCGAACAUCAUGAUGGAGACUGAUGCGAAGACUGUAAUAGCAGUAUUGGGCCAUAGAAGUGUUCAUCAGAGGCAGCAAAUCAGAAAUGUUUAUGCGGAGCUUUACCAAGAGGAUAUCAUCAAACUUCUUGAGCCUGAGCUCUCUGGUGGCUUUCAGUACGACCAGAACAUGAUUUUGCCAACAAUGUCAUAUAGUUUUAUCUUAGCUUCAGGAGUCAUGAUUUUGCCAACAGAAAGCUGUUUACCAACUGGAUACUGGAACCUACUGACCAUGAUGAAGUUGUGGCCAAUGUAACCUCAAGAGUGGUGGCAGCAAAGGUUACCAUGUGAUUGUUGAAAUUCCUUGUACUCUUCACUUGAAGAGGUUUUGGCAGUGAGGCAUGCUUAUCACAAGUCACAACCCUUACAAAGGUUCGUUAGAAGAUAUAGCUACUAAUACCACUGGCCACCUUUGCCAG